rnacentral:rRNA from 1 species
UACGUAGGGUGCAAGCGUUGUCCGGAAUUAUUGGGCGUAAAGAGCUCGUAGGCGGUUUGUCGCGUCUGCUGUGAAAACCCGGGGCUCAACCCCGGGCUUGCAGUGGAUACGGGCAGACUAGAGUUCGGUAGGGGAGACUGGAAUUCCUGGUGUAGCGGUGAAAUGCGCAGAUAUCAGGAGGAACACCGGUGGCGAAGGCGGGUCUCUGGGCCGAUACUGACGCUGAGGAGCGAAAGCGUGGGGAGCGAACAGG